rnacentral:rRNA from 1 species
UACAGAGGGGGCCAGCGUUAUUCGGAAUUAUUGGGCGUAAAGGGCGCGUAGGCGGCCAUGCGUGUCUUCCGUGAAAUCCCUCGGCUCAACCGAGGACGUGCGGAAGAAACUGCAAGGCUCGAGUCCGGAAGAGGGGGGCGGAAUUCCCAGUGUAGCGGUGAAAUGCGUAGAUAUUGGGAGGAACACCAGUGGCGAAGGCGGUCCCCUGGGCCGGAACUGACGCUGGAGGCGACGAAAGCGG